CUGAGCUACGGAAAAUUCGGUCCGGGAAAUCAAUAUCUGUUCAAAGUUAGCUUAUUUUUUGCUAGUUAUAUGUUUGAUGUUUUUUAUGAGUUAUUUUAAUGAAAUCAAUGGUAAAUGUUAGACAAAUUAGUCUCUAAAAUAAUAAAGAUUUCGAAAACUCUAAUAAGAUAAAGGGAAAAUUUUCGCGUAGUGUUGUAUUAUCGUAGAUACCAGUAAGGGAAAAUAAGGACAGCCAAUCAGACUCACCACCUGAAAACAAACGUAAAUCCCUGUUGGUAUUAGGAACUGAAGAAAAUAUAUUUUACCAUUUCGGAACAAUGCAUUGUUACUCGAGCUCUGGUGCCCUACUUUCCAAUGCGAGCUAUAUCCACUGCCGCUCUGAUUCAGACAGCCGAUUAUACAGAAGGGGCUCUCGUUGGGAAUUGUCAGAGAGUGGAGAAUCUACAGUUUCAGACUUAGAUGAGACCGAGUCAGGAACCACUUCUGAAUCAGCAGCCAAUAUAGAUCCGAAUAUUCCUUAUCCAGGAAUUGCACCCGUAACCCUACGAUAUCUGUCUCAAACAACUAGACCAAGAAGUUGGUGCUUAGCUCUAGUUUCUAGCUCAUGGUUUGAAAGAGUUUCGAUGAUAGUUAUUCUACUAAAUUGUUUCACUUUAGGAAUGUACCAACCUUGUUCUGACAAAGAUCCAUGUACAACAAACAAAUGUUUAAUAUUACAGAGAUUCGAUGAAUUUAUCUUCGCCUUCUUUUCUCUUGAAAUGACUAUUAAAAUGAUCGCCAUGGGAGUGUAUGGACCUGGUUCAUAUUUAGCUGAUUCCUGGAACCGUCUGGACUUGUUCAUUGUUAUUGCUGGAGCUGUUGAGUAUGGUUUGCCAAAUUUUAUUAAUUUUUCAGCUAUAAGGACUAUAAGAGUAUUGAGACCUCUUCGUGCUAUUAACAGGAUACCAAGUAUGAGGAUAUUAGUAAUGCUACUUUUAGAUACUUUACCUAUGUUAGGAAACGUUCUAUUGUUAUGCUUUUUUGUAUUCUUUAUUUUUGGAAUAAUUGGAGUCCAAUUGUGGCAAGGGAUUUUGAGACAGCGGUGUGUUCUAAAUCGUGUCGAGUUCCCUACUGUUGAUUUCCCUGAAGAUUUAAUCUAUUUCUACAAACCUGUUGAUUCCGACUACAUUUGUAGCAAAAGCCACAAUUCGGGAAUGCACUUCUGCGCAAAUUUACCAAACUAUAAAAACGGUAAUAUUGCAUGCACUUUGACUUACGAAGAAAAAAACUAUCCCCAAUAUAGCGAUAACGAUUCCUACUGUGUUAAUUGGAAUCAGUAUUAUACCCUGUGUUCAGACAAAAACCACAAUCCCUUUCAGGACACUAUAUCUUUUGAUAAUAUAGGAUUAGCAUGGAUUGCAAUAUUUUUAGUAAUUUCAUUGGAAGGUUGGACAGAAAUAAUGUACUACAUCCAGGACGGACAUAGUUUCUGGGAUUGGAUUUAUUUCGUAUUACUUAUAGUGAUUGGAUCAUUCUUUAUGAUAAACUUGUGCCUUGUCGUCAUUGCCACUCAAUUUUCUGAAACAAAGAAGCGGGAAAUGGAGCGAAUGCGGCUAGAAAGAGCGAGAUUUCAAAGUAGUAGUACCCUAGCAUCAUCUACGAAUAAUAGCGAACCUUCUAGCUGCUAUGCUGAAAUUAUUAAAUACAUCGCUCACUUAUGGCGAAGAUCUAAACGAAAGGUUUUAAUAAAAAUUAGGUUUUACAUUUUGAGGAGGAAUCAGAGGAGUCAGUUGAUAGCUGGUGAUACUAUUCGAUUGAACUAUGGUAAACAGCACCAUCCCAACUGCUCCAAACUUACGUUAAUUAGCUCUGCAAAUUUACUUUCUCCAGCGUCGGUUUCAAGUAAUACCAGAAGAUCAUCAGUGAUGUUUAGCGAUCUAAUUAUAUUACACGGACAAAAUAGCUCCACGACAGCUUAUAAGAAAAACGUAUGUUCAAGCGAGAAAACAACUCAAGCAGGAGACGGAAAUAUCUGGCAAAUUGCCACAGCUUCAGACCAACCUGACAUUCAAACACAACAAAUUCAGCAACAAUGUAACAAUCUUAUGAAUGGUGAAACUCUAACGUGCCAAGAACUACUAGCUCUAGGGGCUAUAAAUGCAGCCCUCUCCACUGGCCAAAUACUUCUAGAUAUAUUUUUCAAUUCAAUUACGAAAGGUAUCAAGAAAGACAGUGAAAACAAUUAUCUUCAGCACGUCUCAGACGACAACUUUUCCUGCUGUCAAGAUCUCUGGCAGUGCGAAGUGGAAUAUAAAACUGAGAAACGAACAAAAUUGUAUAUCUAUUGCUGCUUGGUGUUAAAAGGAAUUCUAAAAGCUUUUAAAGUCUUCAGGAAAAAAAUUAAAAAGAUAGUGGUACAUAAGUGUUUCCAGGAGGGUAUUCUUGUGGCGAUUUUGAUAAAUACGCUUUCGAUGGGCAUUGAGCAUCACAAUCAGGCGGAGAUAUUGACACAUAUUGUUGAAGUGACUAACAUUAUAUUUUCUGCUAUAUUUGGCGUCGAAAUGCUUCUGAAAAUCAUUGCUGAAGGUCCGUUUGGUUAUAUAUCUAAUGGGUUUAACGUAUUUGAUGGGAUUAUUGUAGUUCUAAGUGCUGUGGAGCUAUUCAGAAAUUGCACCAGCGACCUUCACACAGAUUCAGGACUAUCAGUACUGAGAACCUUUCGUCUAUUGAGAAUAUUGAAACUAGUGAGAUUUAUGCCAAAUUUGAGGAGGCAGUUGUUUGUUAUGUUAAGAACGAUGGACAAUGUAGCGAUAUUUUUCUCCUUACUGAUACUCUUCAUUUUUAUCUUCAGCAUUCUGGGAAUGUAUCUAUUCGGCGGUAAGUUUUGCGUCUAUGUAGACGAUUAUGGUUCCACCAAGGAAUGCACCUGUGAAUCGAUGGACAAUAUACGAUGUCGAUGCGACCGAAAACACUUCAACAACAUCCUCUGGGCCACUGUCACAGUAUUUCAAAUUUUAACACAAGAAGACUGGAACAUAGUUUUGUCGAAUGGAAUGGCAAAAACUUCAAAUUGGGCCGCGCUUUACUUUGUUGCCUUAAUGACGUUUGGUAACUAUGUGCUAUUUAAUUUGUUAGUUGCUAUCCUUGUCGAGGGAUUUAGCUCAGAGAGAAAUGAACGCAGAGAACGAGAACAAAGAGAAUUGGCAAAGCGUAAAAUGUCGUGCAUUAUUGAAGCCAGUUUGCGCAGAAAUUGUGGAGAUAGUAAUUAUUCUUUAUCUAGCUCCUCGGAGAAUUGUUUUCCGGAAUACAAAAAUUAUUGGAAGCCAGAUGAAGCAAGAAAUGUCAAAAAUUUGAACCAGCACGCAGCUAGCUGUGAUUUUAAGGAUAUUCAUCUGAACGGAAAUUAUCCAUUUCGGUAUAGAGAUCCGAAAUCAAAUAUACAAAAAGAAAGUUUAGCAAGGCUUCCGAUCAAAAGGUCAUCCCCUCCAAUAAUUACGCACACUGCAGCAACUCCGCAGGAUUCGCCAAGUAUGACACUCAAAGAAUUUUCGGAGUUCCAAUUUCAGGUAAACAACUCAAUCUCAACAAAAGAAGGCACUCAACCUUCAGUUAAUGUUAUUACUCAAAAAAUUGAGAAUUCGAAAUUACUAGUCCCGCCAAAACUCUCCCCACCUCCGUCGACUUUUCGACAAUUUAAACACAGUAGCGUAGACGAUUCAAACAGCAGAGUAUGUAAAAUAGUCACGUAUAAUGAAAAAAGCGGACCUAAUACAGUAACGUACUCAGAAAAGGUUGGUCCAGCUUUCUGCACGGGAAGCACCAAACAUUUAGCCAGUCGAAGUAGUUGGGAAGGUCCUAGAAAAGUUGCUACAAAGUCUAGUUUUAAAAAGAGCAAAAACGUUUCUGAAGUACCAGCCGAAAAUAUACCAUUAAAUAAUGGAAGACAUCAUUCCCAAUGUAGUGGAAAGGGGCAGAGUCCAAUUCCAGCACAUUUAAGAAGGAAAAACUAUUUUAAGAAAACGUCCAUACAAGAAAACCAAGUUAGUAAAAACAGUAAUGUACACGCAAAGAAGAAUAAUACUAAUACAAUCAAAUUUGUUAACAAAUCUAAUGAGAAAAUACUUCCACAGUUAAGUAUUGACAAAGGUAUCAAGGCAAGAAUAAAGAAAAAGAUAUCCUCGGUUUUUCAGACAGCUGAUUUCUUAAAGAAUAGAGAGGACUAUUCAUUGUAUCUAUUUUCACCUGAUAAUAAGUUUAGGAAAUAUUGUUGUUGGGUAGUAAAGCAAGCUUGGUUUGAUAACUUGGUACUAAUUUUCAUAGCUCAGAAUUGCAUUACACUUGCAAUGGAAAGACCAAAUAUUCCACCUGACAGUCCCGAAAAGAUAUUUUUACAAUGUUCAAAUUAUAUUUUUUCAAUUGUGUUUGCUACAGAAAUGUUUAUUAAAGUGGUUGCAUCUGGGAUGUGUUACGGACCCAAUGCGUACUUUACUUCUGGAUGGAAUGUCAUGGAUGGAUCCUUAGUAAUAAUAUCUGUAGUAGAUAUCAUAAUGUUCUUAAUAAACGACACAACUUCAAGAAUAUUUGGAAUUUUAAGAGUAUUUCGUCUACUUAGAUCACUCCGCCCAUUGAGAGUAAUAAAUAGAGCUCCUGGAUUAAAAUUAGUUGUACAGACAUUGUUAUCAUCUCUUAGGCCUAUCGGAAAUAUUGUUCUCAUUUGCUGUACGUUUUUUAUUAUAUUUGGAAUACUGGGUGUACAGUUGUUCAAAGGAUCUUUCUACUAUUGUGUGGCUGAAAAUUUAACCGGCAUUGAAACAAAAGAUGACUGCAUUGCUAAAGGAUACAACUGGAAAAACCAAAAAUAUAAUUUUGAUGACUUAGUUCAAGCUCUGAUGUCUCUAUUCGUCUUAAGCUCAAGAGAUGGCUGGGUAAACAUUAUGUAUACAGGACUUGAUGCGGUAGGAGUUGAUAGACAGCCCAAGGUGAAUUAUUCUGAAUGGCGACUGUUAUAUUUUAUAGCGUUUAUACUAUUAGUUGGAUUCUUUGUACUUAACAUGUUUGUUGGAGUAGUUGUAGAAAACUUUCAUAGAUGCAGAGAAGAACAGGAAAAAGAAGAAAAGAUUAGAAAAGCUGCCAAGCGUGCGUUGCAGAUGGAAAAACGAAGAAGAAAAAUGAACGAGCUUCCAUAUUACAUUGAUUAUCCUCCUUGGAGACUGGAGAUUCAUAAAAUAGUGACUUCCAAGUAUUUCGAUCUAGCCAUAGCGUUGGUUAUAGGUUUGAAUGUCAUUACUAUGGCCACAGAACGUUACCAUAUGCCAGAUUAUUGGGAAUACGCUCUCAGAAUUUUUAACUAUUUCUUCACGGCUGUAUUCAUUUUAGAAAGUACAAUGAAAUUAGUUGCCUUAGGUAUAAAGAUAUACGUCAAAGAUAAAUGGAAUCUCCUUGAUGUAGCCAUUGUGAUAUUAUCUGUAGUAGGAAUUGUUAUUGAAGAGAUAGUGCAAGAUCUGAAGAUAAUACCGAUUAAUCCAACAAUAAUAAGGGUUCUAAGAGUAAUGAGAAUUGCACGGGUUUUGAAGUUAUUGAAAAUGGCGAAAGGUAUAAGAGCUCUUUUAGACACCGUCAUGCAAGCUUUACCACAAGUUGGAAAUUUGGGACUGCUGUUCUUUUUAUUGUUUUUCAUAUUCGCUGCGCUGGGAGUGGAAUUAUUUGGGAGAUUGGACUGCAGCUGUACUCCAUGUCAAGGAUUGGGUGAACACGCACAUUUUCAAAAUUUUGGAAUGGCAUUUCUAACUCUGUUUAGGGUAGCCACCGGAGAUAAUUGGAAUGGAAUCAUGAAAGACACCUUAGAUGAUGAACACUGUGAUCACGGAGAUGACUGUAUCAACAAUUGUUGCAUAUCUCCAAUUAUAGCUCCAAUAUUCUUUGUUAUAUUCGUCCUGAUGGCUCAAUUCGUAUUAGUUAAUGUAGUUGUAGCAGUUCUAAUGAAACAUCUAGAAGAAUCUCACAAACAAUUAGAAGACGAACACGAUAUGGACGUUCAAUUGGAGAGAGAAUUUGUUGAAAAACAGGAAAGAAACGCGAGAGAGCUCUAUCUAGCUCUUCAAGCCGACCAAGAAUGUCAGGCACAACAAAAGAAAACCUUAGUUAAAGUUAUGUCACUGCCAUCCGACUUCACGUAUACCCCUCCUGGGACAAAGGUCACUUUAAAAAUAGAAAAUCCAAUAAUAAACGAAAAUAUUUCGGUUAUUCAAAGUUCACCAUCACCCAGCCCUAGCAGAAAGAACUUGAAGAGUCCAGAUGAAUCCAUGGCCGACAUUUAUAGUAUAGGAUCCGUGUCAGAAGAAAUUAAAAGAGACAAAGGGUAUCAACAAAAUCCAGACAAAGAUAUCUUCCUGAAGGACGAACAUAAAAAUAAACCGAAAGUUGAACAGAAUCCGUCUUUCUUGAUGGUUCCCCAGGAAAGAGAGGUACUGCUGCAACGAUCUGGCAGUGUCAAGAACUUGCUCAGGAAACAGCUGUCGAUGGAUAUCAGUGAAGAAUCCGCCGUUUUACUGUCAAUUCCAUCAAUUCCGAAAGUUCAAAAAAGACAAAAAAAUACUUAAGUUACUUUUAAUUAUUAUUUGGUGUUAAUGGCUUUAAGAACUGUGUUAAUAGGAACAACUAAGAAAAAUAUUAUUUCGUAACGGGAUCAUCAUUAUCUUUGCAUUAUCCAUAUGCGGAGUCGGCUUCCCUUAUUGCAUUACUCCAUAAGUUUUUACCUUGGGUCAUAUCAACAGCAAUUCCCUUUACCGACAUGUCCUGUCUAAAAGUCUCCCCCCCCCCUACGUCAUCUGUGGUCCUCCUCUCCUACUCUUCCCGGAACCCGCAAUUCAGCAAUUUUUCAAUCCUUUUUUGUUACUCCUCUCAUCCAUCUAAGCAUUUUCAUUUCGGCCACAUGCAUUCGUUAUCCCUCUUUCUUUUUAACUGCCCAACAUUCAGUUCCGUACAUCAUAGCCGGUCGUAUGGCUGUUUUAUAUAAUUUUCCCUUCAGCUUCAUUGGAAUUUUUCUGUCACACAACACACAUUUGCUUCUUUUCAUUUCAACCAUCCAACCCUAAUUCUAUUGCAAGCGUCUCCAUCUAUUUCCCCAUUACUCUGUAAUACCGAUCCUAGGUACUUAAAACUCUUACUUUUCACAAUCAUUUUACCAUCCAAAGAUAUCAUUUUAUUUGUUGCAACUCCAUCUUUAAACGGACAUUCCAAAUAUUCCGUCUUUGUCCUACUAAGUUUUAAUCCUUUUUUCUUAAGAGCUUGUCUCCACUGUUCCAGUUUUUGUUCUGUCUCUUUCACUAUUUCCUACUAACACGACUUCAUCAGCAUACAUUCAACACCAAAGAAUGUUACCCUGUAGUUUCACUGUUACCUGAUCCAAAACAAAUGAGAAUAAAUAAAAACUAAUCUGAACUCCGAAAAAACUACACCGAACCUUCCAAUCACGGUGUAGUCCUACUGUCACAUAUGAAAUUUAUCAGUAUCUCCCACACCUGUCCCAACACUAAUUAUUGUUACUCCCUCAUGCAUAUUUCGUAGUGAGAGAAAUAAUUAAGAAACAUUGUUAAAUUUCUUGGUCCACUGUUUAUACUUAAAAUUUAUAUUUUUUAAAUGUGUGAACAAAUUCGACACUAUUACUGUUAUCUGUAGAGGAUAAUAUUUUAGGGUUGAUCUACAGACUAUAAUAUACAGGGUGUCCAGAAGCUCUACCGACAAAUGAAGACAGCAGAUUCCUCAGAUAAUUUUAAGAUAUUUUAACCCAAUUCACCUAGUCCGAAAAUGCUUCCUAAGGGAGCUAGAGCUCUUUGAAGAUGGCGUCAUGUAAUUAGUUUUUCUUAAAUACCUCCAGACCGCCUCCAUUUAGAAAAACAAAAAUUGGUACACAUAUUUAUCUUCCAGAGAUAAAUCGAUUCCAUACAUAAUGAAUUUCUAGUACCGGUCAUAGGCGUCCGUUUUGGGUAGGGGGACAGUUAUUUUAUCGCAUAACUUUUUAUCUUUCAUUUCAAAGCAUUUUUGACUCUGAAUUAUUAAAUUGCGAGUUAUUUUACAACUAAAAGGUACUCUUGUUUUAAGUCGAAAGGAUACACCGUUUUCUAGAAAAAUCGAUUUGAACAUUUUUCUUUUUUUUGAAUUUCCAAAACCAAUUCAAAAAUAAACUAUUUAGAAAUCCGAAAACUGGUACGUUUAUUUAUAUUUCAGAGACGAAUCGAUUUCAUUAAAUGCGAAUUUCUAGUACGGGUCAAAUGCGUCCGUUUUGGGUAGGUCAACGGUUAUUUUAUCGCAUAACAAUUUUGUCUUUAAUUUUUAAGCAUUCUUGACUCUAGAUUAUUAACUUAUGAGGUAUUCGAGUACUAAAAGUUACUCUUGCUUUAAGUUGGUUACAUACACCGUUUUUUUUUUGAAAAAAUUUUUCAAUUUUUUUUCAAAUUCAAAAAACGAAAAAGUUUCAAAUCGAUUUUUCUACAAAACCGUGUGUUUUUCCAACUUAAAUCAAGAGUACCUUUUAGUACUAGAAUACCUCACAAUUUAAUAAUCCAGUGGCAAAAAUGCAUAAAAGUUAAAGGCAAAAAAGUUAUGUGAUAAAAUAACCGUUGCCCUACCCAAAACGGACGCCUAUGAUCGAUACUAGAAAUUCGCAUGGGAUGGAAUCGAUUUAUCUCUGGAUGGUAAAUAUACGCACCGAUUUUUGUUUUUCUAAAUUAAAGGGUUCUUAAGGUAUUUAAGAAAAACUAAUUAUAAGACGCCAUUUUCAAAGAGCUCUAGCUCCCUUAGAAAGCAUUUUCGGACUAGGUGAAUUGGGCUAAAUUGUCUUAAAAUUAUCUGUAAAAUCUCCUGUCUUCGUUUGUCGGUAGAGUUUCUGGACACCCUGUAUAACAACCACAACUAAAUUGUGUGCUAUAUACAGGGCGGGGCAUUAGUGAAAGGCAGUAAAAGUACUCAUUUGUCAUAGGAGAUACGAAAAAAAGUGUUAAGGAAAAAAAUAGGGCAUAGAUAAUAGGACUAAAAAUAUUUUAAAAUAUACAGGGCCACCUAUAUUGACCGGGUGGAACAAACUAUUUUUUUUACUUAAUGGAACACUCUAUAUAUCUUUACAUCUUUAAACUCUCCUCGAUGUUCUCGUUUUUUAAUAUUAGGUUUUGUAAUGUUAUAUGAAUUACCUAGUUUAAAAAAAAAUUACGACUUUUAUUAAUUUCCUAACAAUAUUAACACCCUGUAGAAUGGUACAGGUUUGACAUAGAAAAUCUAUUCAUAUUCAAAACUGUUUUGAUAUAUUCUGCUAUUGUCCAAAAUCAUUAACAUAUCGAAAUAUUUAAUUUUUAUAUACAGGGUUGGUCGAAACUUGGAAUGAGUAUUUUCUAAGUUUUCUCUCUAUUGUAGUAUUGUCAUUAAAUGCUAUUUUACGAUACCUAAUUAUUUAUUAAGCAUUUCCUAUAACAAAUUGCUUUAAUUUGUGAGUAGUUCGUGAUAAUUUGAGCCAAAUUUUAUUGUAACCAUAAUUAGGUGAAAUUAGAUUGGGCAUGAAAAUAUUAAAUCAAAAAAUAUUUUUAGAAAAAAAUACAUAAUAAUGUAAACAUUUUUAAAAACUAUCUGACAACAGAUUUAUAGUAAGCUUGGAUGAAUCAGAAGAUGGUAUUGCGGUAAAUGGCUACCUUAUAAAGGGUUCCAAAGGAUGAUGGAUAAUGUUGUAGAAACAUGUAAUAAAUACUGCUUAAAACUCAAUUGUAAGAAGACAAAAAUAAUGAUCAUUAGUAAUACCGCCAACAUAAACGCCCAAAUUACAAUAAGCUAUACACUGCUAGAAAGAGUGGAGAAAAUAAUAUGCUACUUGAGCUGCAAUAUUAAGGAUACCUGGAAUAAUAGCUAUGAAAUAAUAACUCAUAUUGAAAGCGCCAAAAGCUCUUUUAGCGGUCUUAGAAAGAAUAUUUGCAACUUAUUAAUUGGUAUACCUACGCACAAAAAUUCUUAGAUGUUACGUUUGACUUUUAAAAAUAAUUGGUAAUAAUGGUCUAGAUCUAAAGUGUCUCAUCUAAAUCUGCUAUCGUAGCAUUUAUUAUUUAUCCCAAUAACAUUGCUUGGAAUGCAAUGAAGUAUGGAUACUUUAGUGUUACAUACAUGCAUGUGGUAGUAUUCAUUGCUUACUAGAAUUGCUGAUAGUGUAUUUGAUAUUAUUUAUAUCAAUAGUUUUUCCUAUUAUUUACCCUCUUCUCUACAUCCAAGUAUUAAAACUUAGACAAUUAUUGCUUGGUAUCUCUUAUUAAUCAUUUCGAAUAGUUGCAAAAGUAUUGUCAUGAAUACAUAAGCUGAUACUGCAUUAUAAUUAGAGAAUGCAUGUCAAAGUUAAUGAAAAUCCUCCAAAUAGAUAUUUGAAAAUAGAUGCAUCAGAAUAAGUAGAAAGCAGAAGCGAUAACGUACCUAAUAGGCAAUAUUUUAUAGGAUUGUGAACAUGGAUUACCAAAUGAUAUAAGAAAAUGAGAAUAUUAUUUGGUAGUAGUGUUAAAGAAACAAAAAGAAGACACCAAAUUCAAAUGUAAGCCAUACAUUCAAGAAGUUAUCAAUAAAGAUUUAGUUGUGCUGCUUGAAGCUGAUCUACAGCAAAUGUUGAAAUGGAACCAAAAAACGUUUUGCCAGAACUAAAUCAUAAAUAAGUAGAUUUUAACGUUGACUACUGAUUAUGUAUAACCUACGAAAUAUAGAUAUAUGUAGAUAAUAAACAUUAACAUUCUACAAGUCGAUUAAUUAUAAUUUGAUUCAUUGAAAAAAGAAUAUACCUAAGCCUCCGUGAUCUCCAUAUCAAAAUUAUCGAUUAUAUCAAAAUAUAGAGUUUUAGACUAAAUUAAUUAGAAAUAUAAUAAUUAUUAUUAUUGUUAGUUUACACACACCGUGCUUAGAUAUGUUUAAAUUAUUUAGAUAAACUGAAACGAGUAGUAGGACUAUCAAAAUAUAGUAAGUAAGAAGUAAGAAUAUAAAAAAUAAGUAAGUAACUCAAAAAUAAUAUUGUAAUAGAAUCUUUUUUAAACGGUCUUGUAUUUUCGAUAUAUAAUUUUUACCUGUCUAUAGACUUGAUGUAUAAAAGUAUAAUAAAAUGUGUUAUUUUAA
rnacentral:misc_RNA from 1 species